rnacentral:lncRNA from 1 species
UUUUAAGUUUAGAUUUAGGGUUUAGAGUUUACGUUUAGGGUUUAGAGUUGUUGUUUUAGGGUUUAGAUUUGAAGGUUUAGGGUUUAGAGUUGAUGUUUCGGGGUUUAGGGUUUAAAGUUGAUGUUUCGGGGUUGAGGGUUUAGAGUUGAUGAUUUAAGGUUUAGAGUUAGAUGUUUUAAGUUUAGAUUAGUUAACCAUGUGUUUUUUUUUUGUCAAAGUUAAUCAAAAGGUUAUAAAUGUCUUUUACCCUUCAUUAAAGAUGAGGGUAAAAGUGGUUAGUGUAAACAUGAAAAAUUGUACUUAGAAAAUGGUAUUUUUGACAAUUUUCCCAUGAGAAACUAAGGGUGAUUGUUUGUAGGUUUUGCUUAUGUUUCUCAAAAACCAUUUUUCAUCUAAUCAAGUUUUUAGUUUUGGUUUUUGUAAAAACUAUUUGUUUUGCCAAUCAAUAUUUUCAAUAAAUAGAUUUU